rnacentral:rRNA from 1 species
AAGCCAUGCGAGUCGAGAGGUGUAAGACCUCGGCAUACUGCUCAGUAACACGUGGUUAACCUGCCCUAAGGUGGAGAAUACUCCCGGGAAACUGGGGUUAAUGCUCCAUAGUGGAUAUGUCCUGGAAUGGUAUAUCCUCGAAAGAUCCGUCGCCUUAGGAUGGGACUGCGUCCGAUUAGGUUGUUGGCGGGGUAACGGCCCACCAAGCCAUUGAUCGGUACGGGUUGUGGGAGCAAGAUCCCGGAGAUGGAUUCUGAGACAUGAAUCCAGGCCCUACGGGGCGCAGCAGGCGCGCAAACUUUACAAUGCGAGCAAUCGUGAUAAGGAAACCCUGAGUGCCUGUCGAUGCAGGCUGUUCAUAUAUCUAAAUCAUAUGUGAAGAAAGGGCAGGGCAAGACCGGUGCCAGCCGCCGCGGUAAUACCGGCUGCUCGAGUGAUGGCCACUAUUACUGGGUUUAAAGCGUCCGUAGCUUGACUGUUAGGUCCCUUGGGAAAUCUUCGCGCUUAACGUGAAGGCGUCUAAGAGAUACCGGCAGUCUUGGAACUGGGAGAGGUAAACCGUACUUCGGGGGUAGGAGUGAAAUCUUGUAAUCCUCGAGGGACGACCUAUGGCGAAGGCAGUUUACCAGAACAGCUUCGACAGUGAGGGACGAAAGCUGGGGGAGCAAACGGGAUUAGAUACCCCGGUAGUCCCAGCCGUAAACAAUGUGCGUUAGGUGUGUCGGUAACCACGCGUUACUGAUGCGCCGAAGAGAAAUCGUGAAACGCACCACCU